AUCAGGCCUCAUCUCAUCUUCCUUCUAGACCUCAGAGGACUAUAUCACUUAAACUUUUCUUUUGGUAAACCUUGUAGUUAUGGCUUGAACUGUCAUGGUCCUGGGCCAUGUUGGCCCAGUAUUCUUAGUUUUCAUGUAUUUUGUUCCUUAUUUAGGCCAUGCUUCCUGGGUUGCUCUGUUACGUUGUUCCUUAUGUGUUUUUCCCCUUGUGACUCUUACCCCCUGUCUGCCCCUCUGUGUAUCUGUGAGCCCUCGUCUCUCCUUGUGUUUUAUUCCAUGUUUUACCCAGCCCGUUAUGUCUGUGCUCUCCCCGUGCUCGCUCUCCUCCUGUCUGAACCUCUGUGUACUUCCUGUUUUACUUUGACAGUCUCCCAUCAGUGUUGCGUUUACUCCUGCCAUGUCUCGUUAUGAUUAUCUGUGUCAGCUGUGUUCCCCGUGUGCUCCCACUUCCCUCGUUAACCCUCUGUGUAUUUAUGUCCACGUCUCCCUCAGUUCAGCGUUGCGUUCUCCCUCAUGCUGUGUGUGAUUCUCCCCGUGUCUCCUAGUGUACAUUAUAAUUAGCUUUUCCCAGUUUAGUUUGUAUGGUUUUUCUGUCCAGCAAUAAAGCUGUGUUUUCAGUUCAUUCCUGCCUCUGUGAGCUUGCGUUUGGGUCCUCAUCCUGCCUGCACACAGCCUAACCAUGACAUGAACAGGGAGAGAAAAGAAAGUGAGCUAACUUUACUCAGAGAUGGAAAAAGAUAAGAAAGACACCACAGGAGAGGAAGAAGAGAUGUUAGAUUUAAAGCCAUCUACCAAGACACACCAACGCAGGCCAUCUACUAAGCCAUGCCGACACCGGCCACCAUCCAAUCCACCUGAGGGUUUCCACCCUAAUUGUCUCCCUCUCCUGUGUCCUGAAGGUUCCCACCUUCGCCGCCAUUGUCAGUCUCUGGAACUGAAGCCUCAUGAACUGAUUUGUCUCGGCUGUUGGCGACGCGGGCGGCCUCCUGAACUGUUUUUUUUUGGACUGUUUUUCCUUUUCUUCUGAGUUCUCCUUCCUGGAGCUCCAGCACCCAACCACCCAGGUUGGGUGGAAAUGUUCUCAUUUUAAGAGCUUGAUUGUGAAAGAUUAAACUGCAGAUGUCCACAGAAGUUUAAAGAUGAACUAUAAAUAAAUAAUAAUUAUGCAUACUUUAUUGAUCUCUGUGUGGAAAUUCCUCUCUGUGCUUAACCCAUUCACUCACUAAAGCAGUGGGCAGCCACCAAUCUAGCGCUCAGGGAGCAGUAUGUAGGGACAGUACCUUGCUCAGGGGUAAAUCAGGGUAUCUGCUCAGUGGAUUUGAACCCCUGACCUUCAAAUCAUGGGGCCACCACUCUACCUACUGAGCUAUCCCUGCCCAAACUUUAAACUUAUAGACAUUUUUAAAAAUCUAAAAAGCUAUUUUCUUCAUGCAUUCUUUUAUGAUAUAUUUUUUUUAAUGUUCAAUCAGUCUAGCUCUAAUCCUAAAUUCCUAAAUAGACCUUUGAAGAUUUGAGUAUUUGGGAAACAUUAUGCAAAGUUCCUCUUAAUUGUAAAACACAAAUCUGAGGAUGUUGGAAGACAUUUGUGGUUCUGAUCAGCUUUGUGGCAUGUAGGAGCUCCUUUUAUUAAUAUUCCUAAGUCCUGAAUAAUACUCAUAAACACUGAGGUCCUGCUAUAUGCCAACGUGUAUCUGGACCCUUACAAAACAAAGAUGUGAAGCAACAUUAAUAAUUGUUGGGAACUUUUUUUAAUUUCCAGUUUUCAGUUACUGUUGUUGAUAUGUUAAGAGUAAGAAUAAGUU